rnacentral:rRNA from 1 species
CCUGUUUAACAAAAACAUGUCUUUUUGAGUUAUUUUUAAAGUCUGACCUGCCCACUGAAAUUAUUUAAAUGGCCGCAGUAUUCUAACUGUGCAAAGGUAGCAUAAUCAUUAGUCUUUUAAUUGAAGGCUGGUAUGAACGGUUGGACGAGGUAUAAGCUGUUUCAUAUAAAUUUGUAAUAGAAUUUUAUAUUUUAGUCAAAAAGCUAAAAUUUAAUUAAAAGACGAGAAGACCCUAUAAAUCUUUAUACUUUAUGUUGUUUAAAUUUUUUAGAUUUGUUUUAUUUUUAUAGUUUUGAGUAUUUUGUUGGGGUGAUAUUAAAAUUUAAUGAACUUUUAAUUAAUUAGAAUCAUUAAUUUAUGAAUUAUUGAUCCAUUAGUAGUGAUUAUAAGAUUAAGUUACUUUAGGGRUAACAGCGUAAUUUUUUUGGAGAGUUCAUAUCGAUAAAAAAGUUUGCGACCUCGAUGUUGGAUUAAGAAAUAUUUUUAGGUGUAGCCGCUUAAAC